GCGUGGGUAUGGACCGGAUUAGAUACCCCGGUUGGUCCCCCCGGUAACGUUGGGCGCUAGGGUUGGGGCUUCAUUCCACGAGUUUCGUGCCGCCGCAAACCCAUUAGGCGCCCCCGCCUGGGGAGUACGGCCGCCAAGGCUAAAACUCCAAAGGAAAUUGACGGGGCCCCCGCCACAAGCGGCGGAGCAUCCGGAUUAAUUCGAUGCAACGCGAAGAACCUUACCCAAAGCUUGACAUACAGGGAAAUCUCGCAGAGAUGUGAGGUCCGCAAGGGUCCUGUACAGGUGGUGCAUGGUUGUCGUCAGCUCGUGUCGUGAGAUGUUGGGUUAAGUCCCGCAACGAGCGCAACCCUCGUCCUAUGUUGCCAGCGGGUCGUGCCGGGGACUCAUAGGAGACUGCCGGGGUCAACUCGGAGGAAGGUGGGGAUGACGUCAAAUCAUCAUGCCCCUUAUGUCUUGGGCUUCACGCAUGCUACAAUGGCCAGUACAAAGGGCUGCGAGACCGUGAGGUGGAGCGAAUCCCAAAAAGCUGGUCUCAGUUCGGAUUGGGGUCUGCAACUCGACCCCAUGAAGUCGGAGUCGCUAGUAAUCGCAGAUCAGCAACGCUGCGGUGAAUACGUUCCCGGGGCU
rnacentral:rRNA from 1 species